UACGUAGGGGGCGAGCGUUGUCCGGAUUCAUUGGGCGUAAAGAGCUCGUAGGCGGUUCGGCAAGUCGGGUGUGAAAACUCCAGGCUCAACCUGGAGACGCCACCCGAUACUGCUGUGACUCGAGUCCGGUAGGGGACCACGGAAUUCCUGGUGUAGCGGUGAAAUGCGCAGAUAUCAGGAGGAACACCAAUGGCGAAGGCAGCUCGCUGGGACGGUACUGACGCUGAGACGCGAAAGCGUGGGGAGCAAACAGG
rnacentral:rRNA from 1 species